UGGUGCGGGGAAGACGACUCAAAUGAGGAUUAUUGCUGGUCUUGAAGAACCGGAUUCGGGGAAUGUGAUAAAGGCGAAACCGAAUAUGAAAAUUGCGUUUUUGAGUCAAGAAUUUGAGGUGUCACAGAGUAGGACUGUGAGGGAGGAGUUUAUGAGUGCUUUUAAAGAGGAAAUGGAGGUUGCUGGAAGGUUGGAGAAAGUGCAGAAGGCUCUUGAGGGUUCUGUUAAUGAUUUGGAGUUGAUGGGGAGGCUUUUGGAUGAGUUUGAUUUGCUUCAGAGACGAGCACAAGCUGUGAAUUUGGAUGUUGUUGAU
rnacentral:lncRNA from 1 species